UACAGAGGUCCCGAGCGUUGUUCGGAUUCACUGGGCGUAAAGGGUGCGUAGGUGGCGAGGUAAGUCGGAUGUGAAAUCUCCGAGCUCAACUCGGAAAUGGCGUUGGAAACUACCUUGCUCGAGGGUUGGAGGGGGGACUGGAAUGCUUGGUGUAGCAGUGAAAUGCGUAGAUAUCGGAAGGAACGCCGGUGGCGAAAGCGGCGUGCUGGACCUCUUCUGACGCUGAGGCGCGAAAGCCAGGGGAGCGAACGGG
rnacentral:rRNA from 1 species